rnacentral:rRNA from 1 species
AUUGAACGCUGGCGGCAGGCUUAACACAUGCAAGUCGAACGAGUGGCGGACGGGUGAGUAAUGCUUGGGAAUCUGGCUUAUGGAGGGGGAUAACGACGGGAAACUGUCGCUAAUACCGCGUACCAUAGGAUGAGCCCAAGUGGGAUUAGGUAGUUGGUGGGGUAAGGGCCUACCAAGCCGACGAUCUCUAGCUGGUCUGGGAGGAUGAACGGGCAAAAUGGGACUGAGGAACGGCCAAGAAUCCUAAGGGAGGCAGCCGGGGGGAAAUUUCCGAAAUGGGCGAAAGUCUGACUGAGCAACGCCGCGUGGGGGAUGACGGCCUUCGGGUUGUAAAGCUCUGUUAAUCGGGAGACGGUACCGGAAUAGAAAGCCACGGCUAACUACGUGCCAGCAGCCGCGGUAAUUC